rnacentral:lncRNA from 1 species
GGAGUAGCUGGGUCAAGACAGGAGUAGCUGGCCCCUGCAGGACUUCCUUCCACAGGCCUGGAGCCAAGAGUCGUAGAACAGCAGGGAAGUGGCCGGAAUGUCUGCACCAUGGACAGUGAAGCCAGCCCUACCUGGAGGCCCUUUGCUUCUUUGGAGUCCAAGCCUAGUACUUUCUGCAAAGUGGCCUCCUAGAGGACCGGACUGCAUCACGCUGUUCCCAGCUGACUACCUUUACAACAAAGUGUUGAGAUGCGGCUCUCAUCUUCCGGAGCUCACUAGGAAAGCCGCCCGCCUCUGCCUAGUAGGACCAGCGGCAGCAGUGAGGCAU